GGGCCCAUAGCUCAGUGGUAGAGUGCCUCCUUUGCAAGGAGGAUGCCCAGGGUUCGAAUGUGGGUCCA
rnacentral:tRNA from 1 species